GUGUCAGCAGCCGCGGUAAUACGGAGGGGGCAAGCGUUGUUCGGAAUUACUGGGCGUAAAGGGCGUGUAGGCGGUUUGCCAAGUCAGAUGUGAGAGCCCCGGGCUUAACCUGGGAACUGCAUUUGAGACUGGCAGGCUAGAGGUUGGAAGAGGAGAGUGGAAUUCCCAGUGUAGAGGUGAAAUUCGUAGAUAUUGGGAAGAACACCAGUGGCGAAGGCGGCUCUCUGGUCCACACCUGACGCUGAGGCGCGAAAGCGUGGGGAGCAAACAGGAUUAGAAACCCCAGUAGUCC
rnacentral:rRNA from 1 species